ensembl:lncRNA novel transcript
CCAACAGAGAGGUUCCUGUUUGGACCCAGGAGAGUGGAAGAGAGAUUGGGACUGAGUGCUGAGAUUGGGAAGGCACCUGCUCCCACAGAAGGGGGAACGCAAGGGGCGUCCCAAGACCUCAUCUGCCUGCAGCGUCACACCGAUGGCCUGGCCUCGGCUUCUCAUUAUUUGCAACUGCCAUGGAUGUUUACAGGAACCCAGCCAGAGUUUGCCUCCCUGCACUUCAUCCCAGAGCGCACCUGCUUCCUCCACUUCACCUUCGGAGAGGACACUUCAAACUGCGGACACACGCAAAAGCAACUCCCAGCUCUGUUUGAUGUUACUCGUUCCUCAGCAAGUUGGCAAAACAGAUAUCAUGCUGGUGAGUGCCACGUUACUCCCCUGGCUGCAAAUGCUUUUCUGAAAGUAUGAGUGUCGUGCCUACUUAAUUCUGAUAAACCUGUUUAAGCAAUACUUAGGAGGCUGACUUCUUUGGAUUAAAAAAAUGUAUGCAACUCC